rfam:Triticum aestivum genome assembly, contig: Triticum_aestivum_CS42_TGACv1_scaffold_436341_5DL
AUGGUAAGAGGUACUUGGGUAGCCAGGAUGACUUGCCCAUGGAACCAGGUUCCCGAGAGCUGGGCUCCCGGGGGAGGUUCACAGGCAAAUCAUCCUUGGCUAUCGAAGAUGUCCUCUUACCU